GGAUAUUGUUGUGGAAGGAUGUGAUAUUUAAAGUUGCUGCAGCCAUCUUGCUCUUAGUAAAGGACCAGCCUGAGGACAUAUGUCUACAUUCUGAUGAUGGUAGUAUGGAAGAGUUGGAAAGAGCCAAAGUUAUUCAAGCCAAAGGCAUUGUUGGGGAGGAAAUCAUUUCCUGUACCCUUUUAUAUUCAGUAUGUGGGAUUCUACAAAUUAAGCCAAAAAAAGAUAGAUUAAUAGAAGAGAAGAUAAUGUUUCUUUUCUUUUCAAAAACACUUUUUGAGACAAGCAAUUGGAAUUUUGUCAUUUAAGAACCACGCUCUGUGGCAGGAUAGUAAGUAAGACUUCAUUAACAUGAAAGUGGAAAAAAGCUUGUUACACCAGGAUGGAAGAAAGUUUUUCACACAGAGGUACAGACAACACAUGGUUCUACUCUGAGGAGAAUUUGAAAGAGAAUGCUGACGUCUUUCUACUCAGGGAAGCAAGAUCAAGGACCUCUUGUUAAUCUAUGUGAAUAAGCUUCCUCAGCACCCAGUCUCUGAAAAUGAAAAUAGUGAAAACUGAAUGUUACACACUGUCUCAUUCAAGAAUAAUAGCAUUUAUUAAUGAAAA